UACGUAGGGCGCAAGCGUUGUCCGGAUUUAUUGGGCGUAAAGAGCUCGUAGGCGGCUUGUUGCGUCGGCUGUGAAAACCCGCAGCUCAACUGUGGGCUUGCAGUCGAUACGGGCGGGCUGGAGUUCGGUAGGGGAGACUGGAAUUCCUGGUGUAGCGGUGAAAUGCGCAGAUAUCAGGAGGAACACCGGUGGCGAAGGCGGGUCUCUGGGCCGAUACUGACGCUGAGGAGCGAAAGCGUGGGGAGCGAACAGG
rnacentral:rRNA from 1 species